rfam:Schistosoma rodhaini strain Burundi genome assembly, scaffold: SROB_scaffold0001807
GCACUGCUGAGGAGUCCCACAACAGGAUGAGACGGCCGUCCAGUGC